GAGAAUAAUUUCAGACAAGUUUCCCUGUAUAAUUAAACAACAUUUAAAGCAGUAAUGACGAUUUCUAAAGUAUUCAAUCGGUUCACUUUAUUUGUCAUUGUAGAUUUCAGCAGAAAUUUAUAUAAGGGGAAUGUAGAGCUCAUAGCAUCAUUGUGGACAGAAGCUUAUGAUUAAAGGCUGGAAUUAUAAGCAUAUAUAUCUGCAGCAUGAAAACACAUCACAUCUAAUUAUACCGUAUAUGAACAUGUGAAUUCAUGCCAUCAAAACAUACUCAAACGAUUCUCUUUUAAGUUAUAUUUUCAGUAUUAAAAUAUGUCAGUAUUCAUGUUGCUCACAUCCACAACAUAUCUACAGUCUACUUUGUUUAAAAUCAUUUACUAUAAAAGUAAUUAUCAAACAUGAAAUGUAUAUUCUACAUGAAACGUAUAACCCUUUUCUCUGUUCCUAAAAUCGAAUUAGUUGACAACAAGGACCAACAAUGAUGCUGACCUAAGAAAAGGUUUGAAAUGGCAAAAUCAUGGUAACCGCAGUCCUUCUGCAGCACAUUGGUACUCGCUGUCGCUGACUUCCAGAAUCACUGACUGCCAACACCAAACAAGGAUAGAGAAAGGAUAGAAACUGUGAAGUUUCUUAAAAACAUUUCUAUCAGUCACUCUAAGUGUCUUUCUAAGUGUCUAAGUGUCUCUUGCACCUGAAAAGUUAAUCAAGCACAUCUGAGCCCAACAGACCAUAACAGCUUUCAGCUCAAUUCAAACACAGGCCUUUAUUUGGUGUUCAUAUUUUUUUCAGGUUAAAUAUCUAGACCACACCUGAGUUGCAAUGUUAAAAGGGGUGUGUCGAUGUGAAAUAUACCUGCAGACAAGUAUGUUGUGAAUGAUUCUGCACUUCCUUCCAGCACUAGUUUGGUUCUUCAAUGGCAAAUAAGGGGCAUGAAAUUGCAAACUGUGUCCAGCCUCCAAUUGCAUAAUUGUAAAAUAAGGAACAGAUUUUUAUAAACUUCUGGCCAUAUACGAUGCUUUGCAUAGACAGCAACAGUGAUCUGAAAAUGUUUAUAGGUCUGCUUAACUCUUCACUGGGCUUCUGUUCAUGACAGCAGAUCUAACAGCCAACAUGACUUUGUUCUCGUUUAUCAUUUGGAUACUCUACAGCAUGCAAGGUUGUUUUGGACAAAUUGUUGUGACACAGUCUGAGGUUAAAUCAGUCCAGCCUGGUCAAACCGUUUCUAUUGACUGUAAAGUUGAUACUGUGGUUUACAAAAAUGAGCAAGGCAGUGUCUCUAAAGGGCGUUAUUAUGUAUCUUGGUACAGCCAAAAGCCCGAAGAGGCUCCCAGACUCUUGGUUUAUUAUACAAAUGAAAAAAACUCAGGAAUUCCAUCAAGAUUCAGUGGCAGUGGACAAGGAAACGGUCUUGAGUUUAGUCUGACCAUCAGUGAUGCCCAGUUUGAAGAUGCAGGAGAUUAUUACUGUCAGAGUUACCAUGAAAUCAGUGGUAAAGCAGUGUUCACACUGUGAAAAGUUCCCGUACAAAAACCUACCUUGGUCAGACUACCAAGAAUCCUCUGAUGCAUCUGAGACCUACAGGUGCUGAAAGCAGAACAAAAACAGGGGCAGCAAUAAGAUACAAACAGAUGUUCUAUUUAAUCAAAUUAAUCUUCCAACCCAGAUCUGCAAUAUCAAUAGAACAUUUCUUGCUGUUCCUGUUAUUUCAUUUUCCAAAUCCACUGGGUUCCAUGACAUUUCUCAUACAGUGUUUCACAUAUAGAAAUAUGACAACUGUGCUUGACACAAAGUAGAGAGGGAGACAAAUGCAACAUGAAUACAAAAUCAGUCAGUCGAUUCUGGCUUUAAUA